rnacentral:misc_RNA from 1 species
GGUUUGAUCAUGGCUCAGAUUGAACGCUGGCGGGAUGCUUUACACAUGCAAGUCGAACGGCAGCACGUAUUCCGGUCUGGUGGCGAGUGGCGAACGGGUGAGUAAUGUAUCGGAACGUGCCUAGUAGCGGGGAUAACUACGCGAAAGGUAGCUACUACCGCAUACGCCCUUCGGGGGAAAGCGGGGCCCUUCGGGCCUCGCAAUUAUUGAGUGGCCAGAUAUCGGAUUAGCUAGUUGGUGGGGUAACGGCUCACCGUUGCGACGAUCCGUAGCUGGUUUGAGGACGACCAGCCACACUGGGACUGGAGACACGCCCAGAGACUCCUACGGGAGUGCACAGUAAAAAUUUUGGACAAUGGGGGAAACUCGAUCCAGCCAUCCUGCGUGUGCGAUGAAGGCCUUCGGGUUGUAAAGUACCCUUGGCAGGAAGAAACGGCACGGGAUAAUACCCCGUGCAACUGACGGUACCUGCAGAAUAAGCACCGGUUAACCACGCCAGCAGCCGCGGUAAUACGCAGGGUGCAAGCGUUAAUCGGAAUUACUGGGCGUAAAGCGUGCGCAGGCGGUUCGGAAAGAAAGAUGUGAAAUCCCAGAGCUUAACUUUGGAACUGUAUUUAACGAGCUAGAGUGUGUCAGAGGGAGGUGGAAUUCCGCGUGUAGCAGUGAAAUGCAGAUAUGCGGAGGAACACCGAUGGCGAAGGCAGCCUCCUGGGAUAACACUGACGCUCAUGCACGAAAGCGUGGGGAGCAAACAGGAUUAGAUACCCUGGUAGUCCACGCCCUAAACGAUGUCAACUAGCUGUUGGGGCCUUCGGCUCGUAGCGCAGCUAACGCGUGAAGUUGACCGCCUGGGGAGUACGGUCGCAAGAUUAAACUCAAAGGAAUUGACGGGACCCGCACAAGCGGUGGAUGAUGUGGAUUAAUUCGAUGCAACGCGAAAAACCUUACCUACCCUUGACAUGUCUGGGAUCCCGAAGAGAUUUGGGAGUGCUCGCAAGAGAACCGGAACACAGGUGCUGCAUGGCUGUCGUCAGCUCGUGU